GCAGGGGCUAGGUUUCCUCGACAAUGUUCGUCAGUCGAGGGUUAGUCGGUCCUAAGACGUACCGUAAUUCGAGUACGCCAAAAGGGAAACAGGUUAAUAUUCCUGUACCUGUAUCAAACAAUCCUGACGCUUUCGGAUAGGCAUUACGGAGCUGUCGCUCCGUCUAAGCUGGAUAUGAAACUGGAGUACCGUAAUGGUGGGAACGUUUCUAAACAGUGAUGGGGUAACAAUGCUGAUUCCAGGAGCCCGUGAAAAGGGUGAUACAGUCCGUACCGAGAACUGACACAGGUGCCCCUCGCUGAAAAGGCGAAGGCGUGUCGGGAUUAAUUGUGUUAAGGGAACUCGGCAAAUUAGCCCUGUAACUUUGGGAUAAGGGGUGCCUGCCCAGCGAUUGGGCAGGUCGCAGUGACAAGAUCGCCCCGACUGUCUAAUAACAACAUAGCAGACUGCAACUCCGAAAGGACUGGUAUAGUCUGUGAUUCCUGCCCAGUGCGAGUAUCUGAACACCGGGUUCAACCGGACGAAGGACUCGUAGACGGCGGGGGUAACGAUGACCCUCUUAAGGUAGCGUAGUACCUUGUCGCUUAAUUGGCGACUUGCAUGAAUGGAAUAACGAGAGCGAUACUGUCCCUAACACAAACCCGUUGAACCUUUUGUACUAGUGCAGAGACUAGUGACUCCUUAUGGGAAGUGAAGACCCCGUGGAGCUUUACUGCAGCCUGUCGUUGGAUUACGGUAUUACCUGCGCAGGGUAGAUGGGAGACGUCGAACUGUCCCUUGUGGGGGACAGGGAGUCAACGAUGAGACACCAUCCUGGUUUUAUUGUAAUUCUAACUGAUUUAUCAGGACAUCGAUAGGUAGGCAGUUUGGGUGGGGCGCCACACCCUCGAAAAAAUAUCAAGGGUGCCCUAAGGUCAACUCAAGCGGGUCAGAAACCCGCUGAAGAGUGUCAAGAGCAAAAGUUGGCCUGACGCGAUUUCGCAUAACAAGAAAUCGCGAGAGGAAACUCGGGUCUAACGAACCAAUACGCCCUGUUGAUGAGGGCUAUUGACUACAGAAAAGCUACCCCGGGGAUAACAGAGUUGUCGCCGGCAAGAGCACAUAUCGACCCGGCGGCUUGCUACCUCGAUGUCGGUUCUUUCCAUCCUGGCUGUGCAGCAGCAGCCAAGGGUGAGGUUGUUCGCCUAUUAAAGGGGAUCGUGAGCUGGGUUUAGACCGUCGUGAGACAGGUCGGUUACUAUCUAUAAGGAGUGUAGGAAGUCUGAAGGCAAGAAUGAAAUAGUACGAGAGGAACUUUCAUUCGGCGCCACUGGUCUACCGGUUGUCUGACAAGGCAAUGCCGGGCAGCUACGCGCCAAGAGAUAAAAGCUGAAAGCAUCUAAGCUUGAAACUCAGCCUAAACAAGAGACUUCAUUAAAGACACGGGUAAAACACCCGGUUGAUAGGUUCGGGAUGUAAGCACGAAGGAAACGACGUGUUCAGUCCGCGAAU
rnacentral:rRNA from 1 species